rnacentral:misc_RNA from 1 species
CGUAUUUUUACAUUUGUAUAUUACAUCGUAAUGUUGAAAAUAAAAAUUAUAAAAAAUAUUUUAUACUCGGAACUGUAAUUGCAAUAUUUUAUUGUAUCUUAAAUUUACUUUAAUGUUUUAAAUGCAAUAAUAUCUUGACACUUCGAUGGGAUUAUUCAAAUGGCUCCCAAAAACGGACAGAUUUUGUUGCUGCAUGAGAAAUUUAAAAUGUGCGUCGUUUAUAAUUGUAAUCUUGAGUAUGUUAACGAGUGCUAACACCG